CAACACUAGCCAAUUGGGUAAUUAGUUUAUUGAAUGAAUUCAAGUGAUCUCUAAUAUCAGUACUUUCCUCCAUUAUGAGUAGUUUAACUCUUUCUUUAAGUACAAACAGUUUGUUAGUGACUCUGACAAGUACAUACUCUCCAACUUCUUCCACAACAAUUGGUGAUGUCUCCUCCAAAACAUUUUACUUCUCACCAAAGACUAACGUCAAUAUGAUCGUACUUACUACUCUUUGUUGAAAUUACUCCCAAUCAUCAUCCUUGAUGAUUGCCCAUUGUUUCUAGCUCAAAACUUUGACUAAUCCUUAUUGCACGCUUUACCACAAACUAAAAUUAUUUUUUCUAUCAAAAAGCUUCCUCAAAUUUAGUGCUUGUCAUCUUUAGAUUUUUUACAAACCUCGGCCUUAAUAUCAAUUUGUUAAGAAAAUAACUCAUAAUUCAAAGAACACAAAAUUUAAAAUGAUUUAGUAUAAGCCAAAUUUACUUGUAAAUGUUGUAAAGAGAAUUUAAGUAAAAGUGGAGAUUUGUGGUGUAAAGAGAAUUUAAGUCAAAAUAGAGAUUUGUUAUGCGAUGACUUCAAUUCUUAUUUAUUAAGAAUUAAACUCUCCCAUCUAGAAUUUUACUUAGCCUUGAAAAAUAUGGCUAAACCAAACUAUCUUUGAAUUUUCAAAGACUUAACUAUGAAGAAGUUUAACUAAAAAGUGCCUUGAAAAGAAUUAAAAAAUAAAGAAAAUGUAACUGUUGAUAAGUUGCAUGAGUCGAAAAUUCCUUGGCAUCAAACACUAUCGACCCAUGUAUCCAUUUAUAAAGGAGAUUAUUUCUCCAUUUGUGAGAAACCCAAAUUUUGUCAGAAGAUGAAAAGAAAAUUUAAAGAGAAUUUUCUUUGAGGUUUUAGAUGUAAUUCAAUUUGACAGUUUAGAGUGAUUUGUAUGUGAGAAAAAUAUUCAAUACUUAUAAUUAUUUUUUCUCAUAAUAAAAUAUAUAUAUAUAUAUUUAUUUAUAGAGUAAGCUUAUAAUGAACCACUUUAAAUUUUGUAUUCUUUGAAUUGUGAGUUAUUUUCCUAACAGAGAGAUGGUUUAUAUUUCAAACCACGCCAAUACCAAAACUAAGUAAUUUUGGUUUAUUUAUUAAUUUAACAUGCGUAAAAUAG
rnacentral:misc_RNA from 1 species